AGAAUCAACGCUGGCGGCGUGCCUCAGACAUGCAAGUCGAACGCGAAAGUCCCCUUCGGGGGCAAGUAGAGUGGCGCACGGGUGAGUAACACGUAGGUAAUCUACCUUUGGAUGGGGAAUAACAACCGGAAACGGUUGCUAAUACCGCAUAAUGCAGCGGCACCUAAUGGUGACAGUUGUUAAAGCGGGGGAUCGAAAGACCUCGCGUCUGAAGAGGAGCCUGCGGCGGAUUAGCUAGUUGGUAAGGUAACGGCUUACCAAGGCAACGAUCCGUA
rnacentral:rRNA from 1 species